GAAUGUUGCAACUCUUUAGAAUUUGUCUAGAAGGUUUUCCAGUUGCUACCAGAAACCCCCC
rnacentral:snRNA from 1 species